ACCUCUAGCAUUACUAGUAUUAGAGGCAAUGCCUGCCCAGUGACACCAGUUUAACGGCCGCGGUAUUCUGACCGUGCAAAGGUAGCAUAAUCACUUGUUCUCCAAAUAAGGACUUGUAUGAAUGGCCACACGAGGGUUUUACUGUCUCUUACUUCCAAUCAGUGAAAUUGACCUUCCCGUGAAGAGGCGGGAAUAAAAAAAUAAGACGAGAAGACCCUAUGGAGCUUUAAUUAACUACUCCAAAAGUUAAACAAUUCAACCACAAAGGGAUAAAACAUAACUUAACAUGGACUAGCAAUUUCGGUUGGGGUGACCUCGGAGUACAAAAAACCCUCCGAGUGAUUUUAAUCUAGACAAACCAGUCAAAAUAACCAUAACAUCACUUAUUGAUCCAAAAUUUUGAUCAACGGAACAAGUUACCCUAGGGAUAACAGCGCAAUCCUAUUCUAGAGUUCCUAUCGACAAUAGGGUUUACGACCUCGAUGUUGGAUCAGGACACCCAAAUGGUGCAACCGCCAUUAAA
rnacentral:rRNA from 1 species